AGGUCGUGAUGCGGACAUUUCCUCAACAAAUCUUUAAACCUCCCCCAUGCCUCAAAAAAUGAUUCAAUGUCCAAUUGUGUAUAUACAUUAAUCUCUUAACACAACUU